GACGAACGCUGGCGGCGUGCUUAACACAUGCAAGUCGAACGGUGACCCAGGGCUUGCCCUGGUGAUCAGUGGCGAACGGUGAGUAACACGUGGGCAACCUGCCCCUGACUUCGGGAUAACUCCUCGAAAGAGGAGCUAAUACCGGAUACGACCACUUCGGACAUCCGAUGGUGGUGGAAAGUUUUUCGGUCAGGGAUGGGCCCGCGGCCUAUCAGCUAGUUGGUGGGGUAAUGGCCUACCAAGGCGACGACGGGUAGCCGGCCUGAGAGGGCGACCGGCCACACUGGGACUGAGACACGGCCCAGACUCCUACGGGAGGCAGCAGUGGGGAAUAUUGCGCAAUGGGCGAAAGCCUGACGCAGCGACGCCGCGUGAGGGAUGAAGGCCUCGGUGUAACUCUUCUAGCAGGACGAAG
rnacentral:rRNA from 1 species